rnacentral:rRNA from 1 species
AUUGAACGCUGGCGGCAUGCCUAACACAUGCAAGUCGAACGGCAGCACGGCAGUAGCAAUACUGUGGGUGGCGAGUGGCGGACGGGUGAGGAAUACGUCGGAAUCUGCCCAGUCGUGGGGGAUAACUAGCCGAAAGGUUAGCUAAUACCGCAUACGACCGAGAGGUGAAAGCGGGGGACCGCAAGGCCUCGCGCGAUUGGAUGAGCCGACGUCGGAUUAGCUAGUUGGUGGGGUAAAGGCCCACCAAGGCGACGAUCCGUAGCUGGUCUGAGAGGAUGAUCAGCCACACUGGAACUGAGACACGGUCCAGACUCCUACGGGAGGCAGCAGUGGGGAAUAUUGGACAAUGGGGGCAACCCUGAUCCAGCCAUGCCGCGUGUGUGAAGAAGGCCUCGGGUUGUAAGCACUUAAGUACGAGGAGGAAGGUUUUA